CCUACGGGAGGCUGCAGUGGGGAAUAUUGCACAAUGGGCGCAAGCCUGAUGCAGCCAUGCCGCGUGUGUGAAGAAGGCCUUCGGGUUGUAAAGCACUUUCAGCGGGGAGGAAGGCGGUGAGGUUAAUAACCUCAUCGAUUGACGUUACCCGCAGAAGAAGCACCGGCUAACUCCGUGCCAGCAGCCGCGGUAAUACGGGGGUGCAAGCGUUAAUCGGAAUUACUGGGCGUAAAGCGCACGCAGGCGGUCUGUCAAGUCGGAUGUGAAAUCCCCGGGCUCAACCUGGGAACUGCAUUCGAAGCUGGCAGGCUAGAGUCUUGUGGAGGGGGGUAAAAUGCCAGGGGUAGCGGUGAAAUGCGGAGAGAUGUGGCGGAAUACCGGUGGAGAAGGCGGCCCCCUAGACAAAGACUGACGCUCAGGUGCGAAAGCGUGGGGAGCAAACAGGAUUAGAUACCCCGGUAGUC
rnacentral:rRNA from 1 species